CAAAGAUUAGGUCUAUUCAUUCUUUCUAACUAUUUUGUGUACCUUUUAAAAUUGAGGUUCAAAAGGAAGUUGUAAUGGUUUCAAAACAAUUGAGAUCAGGGAUCUCUAAAUGGGGCUUUGAGGCACCGGGAAACAUACCCUUACCCUAACCUGCAAAUGGGACUCUGAGAAUGUAAAUGCUUAGGUCAAGUUACCAACUAAAUAACAAAGGCUAAGCCCAGAUAUCAGUUCUAUAAUUUGAGGUGCCCCCACCAUUAUUUUCUCUUGAUCCUCAAGUUUCUUACUCUUUUUACUCAUUUCAAUAUUGUCCAGCUGUAGAUGAAUUCUAUUUUUAGAAGUUAGUGUGGUUACAUUUAAACCUAAUUUUCAAACUGACUUGCUUGAGAUCCAAAGCACAUUUUUAAGCGUCAGAGCUCUAGGAACAGAAAAUAGCAUCCCUGGGAUGACAGGAAGGAUGCCCUGUGCCUGGAGGAGGUCUCUCUCCAGGAUUCAGCACACCGUGGAGCUGUGGGAAGUGUGUUAUCUCUGUCAUGAGAGAGAAAGGAGUGGCUGGCUCAGCAAGAUUAGAGCCUCUCUCUGGAUUGUUCCUCAGAACCAGAAGAACUGUGUGGAGUGGCAGCAACUGGAGGAAGCAGAAUGUCCCCGAGCAAGAUUGUCAAGAGAAAAAAGUUACAUGUAUAAAAUCUACAGUAGAAUUGGAAGAUGGAUCUAAUGAGAAUAACACUAAGGAAACACCAUCCUUCAAAAACUAAAAGCUCCUUGAUGAGGUAGACACCAGGCGAAAGGCAAGAUGCCAGAGUAUAAAUGACUUUGAGACAAGAAAAUGAAGUGUCCCAGAAGAGGAAAUGCAGUAAGUGUUGGGGAUAAAAAGAAGGUUAGAAAGCGAACAAUUUCAGAAGGGAAGAAAUGACCUCUAAAAGGGAAGCUGGGAUGAUAGCAAAGGCAAUGUCAACGUCCUCACAAUUUCACUUAGAUUUUCCUGGCUACUCUGCAGAAGGCAUGAUAAGAUAAAUGCUUAUUGAUUUCAAGAUCAAGGCAACAGGAUCCUUUCUGUUUAAUUAUUUCUUUGUAAGUUAAAAACUAAAUGCUUUGGCAAGUGCUGUAAAUACAAAGGGCAGGGGUAUUCAGUGCCCUUAGAAUCAAUGGCAAGUUCAAGCUGUGUGUGACAAGGGAUAACCAUUAUUCAUCCAUUCAUUCUAACAAAGUCUGUAAAUGACUACCAUGCAUUAGGUGAUGGUCUGGUCACUGAAAUAUCAGAGACAGGUAAAGCUCAGUCUCUGUUCUUAAGGACCUCAGGGUUUAGAAGAAGAAAAAGACAUAUAAGUAAGUACAAUAGAAAUAUAAACAAGAACCAAAGGUAGCUCAGGGGAAGUGAGUAACUCUUAGAGGAAAAUAUUAAAUAAAGGAUUUCUGGAUGAGAGGAUGUUUGAACUGAAUUCUGAAGAUGAAUAAAAGUCCUUCUGGAGAAAUAAAAACACCAUUUUGGCAGAAAUAAUAGUAUAUGUGAAUACAUUUAGAACAAAGCAUGGAAACUAUGUUUAGGAUAUUGUCAUAAGCUUGGUAUCUUUAGAGCAUUUUGUGUAAGUGGUGAGGGGAGAAAAUGGGAGGAGAUAAAAAACGUAAACGUAGGGUAGGGUAGAUUAUGAAUGGAUAGAAAUGUCUCUUAAAGCAUCUGAACUAUACCCAAAUGCCUAGGAGGAGAA
rnacentral:lncRNA from 1 species